GAUGAACGCUGGCGGCGUGCCUAACACAUGCAAGUCGAGCGAAGCACCUUACUUGAUUUCUUCGGGAUGAGAGUAUUGUGACUGAGCGGCGGACGGGUGAGUAACGCGUGGAUAACCUGCCUCAUACAGGGGGAUAACAGUUAGAAAUGACUGCUAAUACCGCAUAAGACCACAGCACCGCAUGGUGCAGGGGUAAAAACUCCGGUGGUAUGAGAUGGAUCCGCGUCUGAUUAGCUAGUUGGCAGGGUGAUAGCCUACCAAGGCGACGAUCGGUAGCCGACCUGAGAGGGUGAUCGGCCACAUUGGAACUGAGAUACGGUCCAA
rnacentral:rRNA from 1 species